rnacentral:piRNA from 1 species
AACAGGUUUCUGCUUCUGACAGACAUCU